GACGAACGCUGGCGGCGUGCCUAAUACAUGCAAGUCGAACGAGUGGCGGACGGGUGAGUAAUGUCUGGGAAACUGCCUGAUGGAGGGGGAUAACUACUGGAAACGGUAGCUAAUACCGCAUACCAUCAGAUGUGCCCAGAUGGGAUUAGCUUGUUGGUGGGGUAACGGCUCACCAAGGCGACGAUCCCUAUCUGGUCUGAGAGGAUGACCAGCCACGCUUGAACUUAGACACGGUCCAGACUCCUACGGGAGGCAGCAGUUGGGAAUAUUGCACAAUGGGCUCAAGCCUGAUGCAGCCAUGCCGCGUGUAUGAAGAAGGCCUGCGGGUUGGAAAGUACUUUCAGCGGGGAGGCGUUACCCGCAGAAGAAGCACCGGCUAGCUCCGUGCCAGCAGCCGCGGUAAUUC
rnacentral:rRNA from 1 species